UGCACCCACAGCAUAUGGAGGUUCCCAGGUUAGGGGUCAAAUCAGUGCUGUAGCUGCUGGCCUACACCAUAGCCCCAGGAACGUAGGAUCUGAGCCAUGUCUGCAACCUACACUACAGCUCACAACGCCAGAUCCUUAACCCAGUGAGUUAGACCAGGGAUCAAACCUGCAACCUCAUGGUUCCUUGUCAGAUUCGUUUCCGCUGCACCAUGACAGGAACUCCCCAUGUUUACUCUUUGAGGAGGCAACAAACUGCUUUCCACAGCAGCAAGGGUUUCUUUUGUUUCUUAAAUUUCUUUUUUUUUAUUGUGGUAAAAAACACGCAUCAUAAACUGUGUCAUCAUGACCACUUUUUACGUGUACAGUUCAGCAGUGUUAAGUAUCUUCAUAACCUGCUCAUUUCGCAGAACUGAAACUCUAUAACCGUUAAACAACAACUGUUUUCACCUCUUCCCCCUGGUCUUUAGCAACCCACACUCUACUUUCCUUGUCUGAAUUUGACUACUUUAGGAACCUCAUAUAAGUGGAGUCAUACAGUAUUUGUCCUUUUGAGAUGGCUUGUUUUACUUAGCAUAAGGUUCAUCCAUGCUGUAGGAUGUGACAGGGUUUCCUUUCUAAGACUGCAUGGUAUUUUGUUGUACGUAUGCGGCAUUUCCCCCCCCCCCACCCCUGCAUUUUGUUGAUCUAUUCAUUUAUGAAUGUAUAUUUGGGUCACUUCUACCUCUUGGCUAUGGUAAAUAAUGCUGCCAUGAACAUGGGUGUGCAAAUAACUUGAGACAUUGCUUUCAGUUAUUUUGGAUAUAUACCCAUAAGUGCACAAUCACUUCUAUAAAAAUCUCUGUGGACUCUACACAAUAGCAGUUUUGCUUCUUGUAUCUACAUUCUUCUAGAUCCUUAGUAAAAUCUUCCACCUUCCCUCUAAAGAGCUCCACUUGGGAGCACCUGGACCAGGUGAACUCCCAGGUGUGUCCAGCUCUAAAUCUAGUGAUCUACAGGAAUGUCCUGAGUAUGAUACUGUCCUCAUAACUAGUUCACAUUAAUGAGUAUAUCUCUGCCCCAGAAGAUGUGCACAACCAGGUCAAAGUAAAUAUCCUCCCAGAGAGCUGAGGCUCAACAGAAUAUGCCAAGGACGAGGAAUUUUCUUCUCAACACUGACCUUACUGGUUCACCUUUUUCACCAGCCACAAAACAGGAAGUGAUCACGCUAAUAAGGUGGAUUCCCAUCCAUGAGGAUGGGGGUUUGGUCCUGGCCUCGCUUGGUGGGGUAAGGAUCCAGUGUUGCUGUGAGUUGUGGUGUAGGUCUCUGAUGCCGCUCAGAUCUGGUGUGGCUGUGGCUGUGGCUGUGGCCGGCAGCUGCAGCUCCCAUUUGACUCUUACCCUGGGAACUUCCACAUGCCUCGGGUGUGGUCAUAAAAAGCAAAACAAACAAACAAACAAAAACAAAACAAACAAACAAAAACUUAACAAGCUCAUUAACUAUAGUUUAUUUCAAUAGAUGGUUUAAAAAUUUCAGGCAGAGUAACUGUAACAUAAUAAACUCAAUAAAGGGCUCUUGUUUCUAUAUAGGUAUUCUCCUAUGGAACAUUCUUCUGUGUAAUUAUUAUUACGUAUUGCCUUGUAUAAAAUCCAACUGCUGGAGAGGUGAUUUAAAUUCAGUCCCUAUGUUUACAUAAUAAGAAAACACUCCUGAUAAACAGUGCAACCCUUUGAGGAACAUCAUGAAAAGAAAAGAGUUAUCUGUUCCAAGAGGCUGACUCCAGUGCAGAUGUACAGGGCUGUGUCUGGAGAGGAAAAUUAAUAGCUCCAUUUCCUUUCUUCCCUCUUUCUAUCUGAUAAGAGAUGCUCUCCUGGGAUGGAGAGGGCAGUCUUGGAAGGAGGCUGGAGGCCUGUGGAGGGAGAGGGACCAGGACUGACACGCUCAGAAACUCAUCAACCACACCUGGUUUCUGCAUCCGUUAUGGAACCAGAUGUGCAAAUACUGCCUCCGAGCGGAUUACCAACAGCACCAGGCACUGGAGGGAAGCUGAGCCUUCCACAUGUUCCUUCUCAUUGUCAUGCUGGCAGAGUCCAGCCAGGCUCCUGUGACACACGGACGCCCAUAUACAUCCCUGAUUCUCACCUUGCCAGACCUGGGAGCCAUCGAUACGAAUGGGGAGCUCAGACUUCGAGCCCCUGACAAGGCCGUGACCCCAGACUCCCAGGACCCCAAGGAGCCUGCAUCGCACCCUCCCACCCAAGCUGCUCUGCGUUCACUGGGCAAUUCUGGGAAAAACUCAAAAUGUGCAGAAUUGCACUCCUAUUGAUCAUCCUAAAAUACAUGUAGCUAUGGGUUUUGGAAGACAUGCUCAAUCUGUGCUACAUGCAACAAGCGUAUCUCUGCCCCAGAGGACAUACCCAACCAGAUCCAGGGAAAUAUCCUCCCCGGGAUAUGGAGCCACCACCAAAACCUGUUGGGGAAGGCUACAGCGCCACGGGGAAUAUGGGAUGAACAUGCGAAUCUACUCUGUUUACAUUUAUCUCUUAUCUACAAAACCCACAACAGAACGGACCAGGCUUUACCAUUUACUACGUGGACUGUUUUGGCUGUGUGCAGGCAGACUGGCCAUCACCCAGCUUCAUGGUCCUUAGAGCUCUGGAGGAGAGAGCAGGUCACCACCCACAGGUCCCUAUGCCCCUUCCUUUGCUUCCUGCGUCCUGCAACAUGCAUAUGAUACUGUCUGGUUAAUGGGAUAAUGAAGUAAAUUCUCUAGUUUUACCUUUGAUAGAUCCCAAGCACCUCCAACUGUACUCAAAUGUAUAAUGCAUGAAUUUAAACUAUCUUUGAUGAAACGGACACAUGGCUUAAAAGAUUCCUGCAAAAAAAAAAAAAAAACCCUCCAGAGGCUGAAGUUAACACCAAUACAAGCACAAGUGAACAAUAAUAAAAGAAAAGAGCUCACACUUCUUUCCUGGUAUAAGUACUUCUUGAAUAAUAUUACAAAUAAUACCAAAGAUCUAAUCAGAUUUGACAGGAAGCGGCCCUUUGCCACAAACCUGAAAUCUCUAGGGAGAACAUUAGAAAUUUAGAUUUACAUCCCAAAUCAUUAAUGAGAAACAUUACCUCAAGGGUAUUCGGACCUUGGGAUAUUAGCUAAUGAUAAUAAAAAGUCCCAGUGAUUAGCAAGACAUUUAAAAUAUUGCUUAUUUCACCUUUAUCAGAUACAUUAAUAUCCAUUUUGUAUAUAUUUUACAAUUUACACAAUGGUAGCAAAAUAUGCACAGGUAUACAAGUAUCUAGGGUGCAGGCAAAAAGUAAUUUUUAAAUGGAUGGGGUGCAUGAUCAAAGUUUGGUGUCACAGCCCUGGUACAGAGCAUCCACCUGGAUGGAAGGCAGACUGCUGCAGUGCUCAGCCUGGGCAACAGUCAAGUGCUGGGCAACAGAAGCAAGAGUCAUUUACAUGUAGGCCUCACAGUUAAUAAAUUAUUGUGCUGCUAUUGCUAUUGGGAUGUCACUGGAAGGUUCUGAUUCACUACCUACAAGACCUGAGUCUUCCUUCCAUGAUGGACUGAAUUUUGUC
ensembl:lncRNA